rnacentral:misc_RNA from 1 species
UCUCCGUUGGUGAACCAGCGGAGGGAUCAUUACAGAGUUUUCUAACUCCCAAACCCAUGUGAACUUACCAUUGUUGCCUCGGCGGAGCCUACCGUGUAGCUACCCUAUAAGGUGGUUACCCGGUAGCGCCCCGCCGGUGGAUUUCAAACUCUUGUUAUUUUUUGUAAUCUGAGAGUCUUAUUUUAAAUAGGUCAAAGCUUUCAACAACGGAUCUCUUGGAUCUGGCAUAGAUGAAGAACGCAGC